UACGGAGGGUGCAAGCGUUGCUCGGAAUUAUUGGGCGUAAAGGGUAGGUAGGUGGUCUUAUUUGUCUGGGGUGAAAGCCUUGAGCUUAACUCAAGAAGUGCCCCAGAAACGGUGAGACUAGAGUCCUGGAGAGGGUCGUGGAAUUCCCGGUGUAGCGGUGAAAUGCGUAGAGAUGUGGAGGAAUACCGAUGGCGAAGGCAGCCCCCUGGGAUGAUACUGACGCUCAUGCACGAAAGCGUGGGGAGCAAACAGG
rnacentral:rRNA from 1 species